AGGAUGACAAGUUCUGUGUACAGGAACUGCCAUCAUCACCAACUGAGUGGUCAGGAUGUUUAACUGGUGACCUCGGAAUCACUAAUUGAGCGUUAAUCUUUCAAUCCGCCAUGUUUUCUUCUAGAAAUGACUCUUUGAAAUAUGCACAAAACAGGGAAAAACAAAAGCUUCCACAGUGGGAUUAAGGUGCCUUUAUGAAGACAUUCAUGACAACAAUGUCUUUACAGGUGCUCCACUGCCUGUCUUCAAGGAGUUCUACAUUAAGUAGGAGAGACCAACAAGCAAAGAAAUGCAACAUAGCCAAUCCGUUUGAGAAUCUUAUGAAACCUGUGGUCCAUCUCUCCAGGAAAAUAAAGGGGAAGUUUGGACACAGAGACAGACGUACACAGAGGGAAGCCAUGUGGCGACACAUCGGGAGGAUGCCCUGUGAAGAUGGAGGAAGAGUUUAGACUACGCAACUGUAAACAAGGAAUGCUAAGAGUUGCCCACCGCCACCAGAAGCCAGGAAGAGGCAAGGAAAAUUCCACCUGGGUCUCAGAGGGAGCAUGGCUCUGCUCUAUAGAUUUCAGACUUCUCUAGCAUCCAGAACCGUGAGACAGUAAAUCCUCUGUCGUUUGAAGCCAUCUGCUUUGCGGUACUUUGUUUCAGCAGACUUGGGAAAUGAAUACACUUAUGUUAUAAAGUAACGUUUAGCAAUUAAUAAAGUUAUAGCAUAUCUUCCAGCUGUAAAAUUGAAUAAUAAUAAUUAAUUCUAUCAAUAACAGAAACAGAAAUUAGCCACUGGAAAAAUACAUUGAUAAUUAAUUGUAGUGUGUAACUUUUUUGCAAUAGGAGAGUACUAAUGAAUAUAGAUCAUCUGAGAGCAUUUUUAAUAAAAAUAUAUUUUAUUCAGUCAAUAAUACAUAUUCAUGUGUCGUUAAACCUAUUCAUUUUAUUUGGUAGAGUAAAUAUCACUUUAUUGCAAAUCAGAAUCUGAAUUAAU